rnacentral:tRNA from 1 species
AGAUAAGAUGGCUGAUUUAAAGCAUGGAACUGUAAAUUCUUAUAUAAACGAACGUUUUCUUAU